UAGCUCUGUUGGUAGAGCAUGGUGUUUGCAACGCCAGGGUUGUGGGUUCGAUUCCCAC
rfam:Salmo salar isolate Sally breed double haploid chromosome ssa11, whole genome shotgun sequence.